rnacentral:rRNA from 1 species
GACGAACGCUGGCGGCGUGCUUAAUACAUGCAAGUCGAACGCAUUUGCGCACGGGUGAGUAACGCGUAGAUACAUGCCUCAUAGCGAGGGAUAAAAAUUGGGAACGAUAGCUAUUACCGCAUAUUGUGAGCUGGCACUGCGUUUUAUUAGCUAGUUGGUGUGGUAACGGCUCACCAAGGCGACGAUACAUAGCCGGCCUGAGAGGAUGAACGGCCACACUGGGACUGAGACACGGCCCAGACGCCUACGGGAGGCAGCAGUAGGGAAUCUUCCGCAAUGGACGGAAGUCUGACGAAGCAACGCCGCGUGAGUGAUGAAGGUUUUCGGGUCGUAAAGCUCUGUUGUUAGAGAAGCGGUAACUAACCAGAAAGGGACGGCUAACUACGUGCCAGCAGCCGCGGUAAUAC